rnacentral:rRNA from 1 species
AGCGGGGGAAAGAGCAAUCUUUCCUGCCGGCGACCGGCGCACGGGUGAGUAACACGUAUGCAACCUGCCCGUGUCAGCGGGAUAAUCGGGAGAAAUUCCGUCUAAUACCGCAUGACACAUCGGAAGGACAUCCUUCCGAUGUCAAAGGGUAACACCGGACACGGAUGGGCAUGCGGCGCAUUAGCUAGUCGGCGGGGUAACGGCCCACCGAGGCGACGAUGCGUAGGGGUUCUGAGAGGAAGGUCCCCACACUGGUACUGAGACACGGACCAGACUCC